GAUCUUUAUUUUUGUAUUUUAUAAUUUUUUAAGGAUUUUUUUAAUUAUAAAUUUAUUAAAAAUUUUACUGGGGUGGUAUAAAAAUUUAAUUAACUUUUAAUUUUAAUUAACAUUAAUUUAUGAAUAAUUGAUCCAAUAAUAUUGAUUAAAAAUUUAAGUUACCUUAGGGAUAACAGCGUAAUUUUUUUUUAGAGUUCAUAUCGACAAAAAAGAUUGC
rnacentral:rRNA from 1 species